rnacentral:rRNA from 1 species
UACGUAGGUGGCAAGCGUUGUCCGGAUUUACUGGGCGUAAAGAGCGCGCAGGCGGUCGUUCAAGUCGCGUGUGAAAGCCCCCGGCUCAACUGGGGAGGGUCACGCGAUACUGAUCGACUCGAAGGCAGGAGAGGGUAGUGGAAUUCCCGGUGUAGUGGUGAAAUGCGUAGAUAUCAUUUGGAACGCCAAUGGUGAAAACAGGUAGCUGGGGAUGUGCUGACGCUGAGACACGAAAGCCAGGGGAGCAAACGGG